UUUAGUUUUCCCCCCAUAAUUUCCCUCUUCUAAUUUCACUAAACCCAAUUUUACUAGAGCCUAGCCUUUUUUUUAAUUCCUAAAACUUGUUCUCUUAACCUUAGAACAUAUCAAAAUAUCCCUACACUUCUUGUAGCUUCAACCCCUUGAAACCCUAACCCCUCCGGCGAGUCACUUCUGCAAGUCACUCUGUCAAGGUUCUAGCACAUCUCUUCAACCUCACAGAGCCUAGGGAAAGUAAUAUAAUGGUAGCGAUGAAGAGUCAAGGUCUGGUUCUUUCAGGUUGCCCUUCUUGAAGGGCCUGCUUUAUGGUGCAAGAGUCCCUUUCCUCUGAGAUCCAUGUAUCUGCUACCAGCUGAAGUGAGACCAUCAAAGUUCUCUGUGCUUCAGAAUGUCCAAGAUUCAGCUCAAAACUUGCAUAUAAUCCUUAUAAUGAGCCCAACAUUGAAGUUUUCAGUAUUUGGUUUUGCAGGUAAAUUGGGAGAUUAAAGGUGAGAGUUAUGUGGGUAAUCAACCCUUGUACGAUCUUGAAGAUCAACACAAGAGAUUAAGGUGGAUCGGAUGAGCAAAGAGUGGAUGAAAGUGGCAAAAAUAUUGCUUAGAGUUAUGGGAUUAUUUUGAAAAUAUUAGUGUAUUCAGAUAAUUUAGGAAUCUUUUAUUUUGGAUUUCCAUUACUUUGAGAGCUUAUGUAUGCUUUUGAAUUGUUAGACAAUAAUAUAAAUUUUAUUAUUGUGGAAA